GUGUUCGCUUUGACAGCAUAUGUACUAAAAUUGGAAUGAUACAGAGAACAUUAACAUGGCCCCUGCUCAAGGAUGACAUGCAAAUUUGUGAAAAUUAAAUUUGA
rnacentral:snRNA from 1 species